GGUCGGAUGGCGCAAUGGUAGCGCGUAAGCUUCCGGUCUUGCAUCAGCUUGCUUAAGGUUUUGGGUUCGAGUCCCAAUUCGAUCG